GAAUCCGGGCGGUUAUCCGCCCGGAUUACACCCGGGCGGUUAAGAAAUGAUUCUUAUCCGCCCGGACCCGGUUACGGAUCCGGUUUUAUAACCGGAUAUCCGUAACCGGUUUUAGUUUUAAAAACAAAACAACACACCCUGCGACAGACAUCAGCCUCGACCUCAACCUCGACGAUUCUCUCCCCCACCCCCAAGCGAAACCCUAAGUCUUGCUCACAUGGAUCCAUCGCCGCCGAUGACUGGGCCGUCGGUGACUAUAGUGGCUACCAUCCGGUAAUGUCUUUCUUCUCCCAAGUUUUUCUCGUUAUUCGGUAUGCCCUCUCUCUCUCUCUAUGUUUGUAUAUCAGUUUCCUCUCGCAAGUUUUUCUCGUUACUUGCUUUCGGAUAGUUUCUGCUUACUCGUUGGCCGUUGCUACCUUUAGCUAGAUUUGAGUUUGUGUUUAUAGAUCUGCGUUUGUGUGUAGAUUUGAGUUUGUGUGUGUAGAUCUGAGUUUUGGUGUUUGUAUAUAACUUUCCUCUCUCAUUGGCCGUUGCCCACUUUAGCUAGAUCUGAGUUUGUGUUUAUAGAUUUGGGUUUUUAUGUGUAGAUCUAUAAAAAGUAAAGGAUUUCUGCAGUUGGGGCUACGGGCUUUUGCUAGGGAUGUGAUUUUUUGCUCUAUUAAUCUCUCUAGAUUUUGUGAUUUUGUUUAUUAAACUUUUUUUUUCUCUUCUUUCUGGUUUAGAUCUGGGUUUGGGUAUUUUUUUAUAAUGCUUGAUAUGUGCUGACAAUACAUAUCCGAGUUUAUCUGCAGGUAGUGAUAUCAAGCAGAUCUCAACCAAAAACCAUCUAUCAGAUGUGAUUGAGGUCUUGUUGUUCCUUAAAUAGAGCCUGUCAUGGAAUAGCAGUAAUGGAUUUACACGAAUAGCACCUUUGUGCUUUUCUUUUUGCUGAUAUUGGCCUUUUUUUAAGAUCUUGGUAGAUAUGAUAUUUGCAUUAGUGCUUUAUACCUCAAGCAAUAAUUGUGAAUAAAGUGACUAUAUAUGAUCCAACCUUUCUAGGAUUUGUUGAGAUAUUAAAUAGUCGAUUGAUAUUGACACUAGAGAUGGGGAAAAUGCCAGGAAGAAAAAUAUCAAUAUUAUAUGAAGAUCAUACGACAAGUUUAACUUUCAACCUUGGGGUUUAGGUGUUAAUUUUUGUAUCCUUUUUCCCAUGAUAAUGCUAGCUACUUGUUGAAUUCUCAGAGAUCACAAUUAAACAAUAAUUAUAAAUGAAAUUGGGGUUCUUCCAUUUUCCUUUGGUUGGUUGGGGUGGAGUGGAUCAUGUGAUGGAAUAAACUCCUAAUAAAUAUGUAGACAAAGUUAUUGGAGAGAGUCUUGAUUUAAUUAAAUAUGUAGACAGCAACUUUGGGGGGCCUUCUCUUUUACCUGAUGUAAGAUUUGAGUAAUUCAUUUGUGCCCUCGCUCAAAAGCUUUUUUUCUCCAUUUAUUUCUUUUGGACUGAACUUAUUCUGGGAAAUGUUAUAGGAUCUUGCAUCAGGUCCAGCUUUUGAUCACUUGGAAAAUGCUUGACAUAAGUUUGAUGAUGGGCCAUUUUUCCUUAGGCAAUUCAUCUGGAGCUACUCAUGCUGCGUGAUUCUUUAGUCAAAUUCUGUCAAAAGCAUGGGAUUUGUGCUACAGCACACACUCCUCUUGGAGAUGUAUCGUAGCAAUUGAUGGAGCUUUUCUCAAAAUCAAUCUCAGGAUUGUAAUUUUCCACCUUAAUCAAGCUGGAAGAACCUUUGUAAUUGAUGUUGUUGUAAUUGAUUGUAAUUGAUUAUUUAUUUUGUAUUUUGUAAAUUUAUGUUUUGCAUUGUGAUGUAAUAACAAUAUUAUCUAGCUUGCUUUUUUAUUUAUUUUGUUUUU